rnacentral:rRNA from 1 species
CGCUGUGAAGAUGCAGUGUACCCGCGGCAAGACGGAAAGACCCCGUGAACCUUUACUAUAGCUUGACACUGAACAUUGAGCCUUGAUGUGUAGGAUAGGUGGGAGGCUUUGAAGCGUGGACGCCAGUCUGCGUGGAGCCGACCUUGAAAUACCACCCUUUAAUGUUUGAUGUUCUAACGUGGACCCGUAAUCCGGGUUGCGGACAGUGUCUGGUGGGUAGUUUGACUGGGGCGGUCUCCUCCUAAAGAGUAACGGAGGAGCACGAAGGUUGGCUAAUCCUGGUCGGACAUCAGGAGGUUAGUGCAAUGGCAUAAGCCAGCUUGACUGCGAGCGUGACGGCGCGAGCAGGUGCGAAAGCAGGUCAUAGUGAUCCGGUGGUUCUGAAUGGAAGGGCCAUCGCUCAACGGAUAAAAGGUACUCCGGGGAUAACAGGCUGAUACCGCCCAAGAGUUCAUAUCGACGGCGGUGUUUGGCACCUCGAUGUCGGCUCAUCACAUCCUGGGGCUGAAGUAGGUCCCAAGGGUAUGGCUGUUCGCCAUUUAAAGUGGUACGCGAGCUGGGUUUAGAACGUCGUGAGACAGUUCGGUCCCUAUCUGCCGUGGGCGCUGGAGAACUGAGGGGGGCUGCUCCUAGUACGAGAGGACCGGAGUGGACGCAUCACUGGUGUUCGGGUUGUCAUGCCAAUGGCACUGCCCGGUAGCUAAAUGCGGAAGAGAUAAGUGCUGAAAGCAUCUAAGCACGAAACUUGCCCCGAGAUGAGUUCUCCCUGAGACUUAGAGUCUCCUGAAGGAACGUUGAAGACGACGACGUUGAUAGGCCGGGUGUGUAAGCGCAGCGAUGCGUUGAGCUAACCGGUACUAAUGAACCGUGAGGCUUAACCUUACAACGCCGAAG